AUGUUCCCGAGCUGCCACGGCACCCACGAGUUGCAUCUGCGUCCCCACGACUCAGCCUGGACGUACCCCUCCUCUCCAUCCCUAACCCUAACCUGGUUCAGUCUAGUGUCGCUGCUGCUGGUGGCUGGUGAUGGUGGAUGUAGUCAUGUAAAAAUCUGUUUGUGUAGAAUCCGGUGGUGGUGCCUGAAUGUGUUUGUGUAGAAUCUGCUUGUGGUGGUGGUGUAUAGUUGGAUGCCCAUUGCUCUCUUUUUUCUGAAGAAAACCCUGCUGAUGUAAUUGGUUCAGUGGUCAAAUACGCUGUCGCUUUCUCUUUUUUCUGAAGAAAACAGUGCUGCUGUAAUUGGUUAAGUGGCCAAAUAUGCUGCCGCUGUCUCUUCUUUCUGAAUAAAAUGUUGCAUUU
rnacentral:lncRNA from 1 species